rnacentral:rRNA from 1 species
GACGAACGCUGGCGGCGUGCUUAACACAUGCAAGUCGAACGGUAAGGCCCUUCGGGGUACACGAGUGGCGAACGGGUGAGUAACACGUGGGUGAUCUGCCCUGCACUUCGGGAUAAGCCUGGGAAACUGGGUCUAAUACCGGAUAGGACUCCGGACUGCAUGGUCUGGGGUGGAAAGCUUUUGCGGUGUGGGAUGGGCCCGCGGCCUAUCAGCUUGUUGGUGGGGUGACGGCCUACCAAGGCGACGACGGGUAGCCGGCCUGAGAGGGUGACCGGCCACACUGGGACUGAGAUACGGCCCAGACUCUUACGGGAGGCAGCAGUGGGGAAUAUUGCACAAUGGGCGCAAGCCUGAUGCAGCGACGCCGCGUGAGGGAUGACGGCCCUCGGGUUGUAAACCUCUUUCAGCACCGACGAAGCGCAAGUGACGGUAGGUGCAGAAGAAGGACCGGCCAACUACGUGCCAGCAGCCGCGGUAA